rnacentral:lncRNA from 1 species
CUGUGUAGACCCUAAGGAACUAGUCAUGCAGUUAAAGUCAAUAUUAUGUGCUCUCCAUCCAUUGAUUUUAGCUACUUAUAUCCUCAGAAGUAUGCAACCACUUACAUCCACCACAUUCACUAUGUGCUACUUCUGUUCCUAGAAGUACCACCCACAUAUAUGCACUACACUCUGUGCUAUUUCUAUCCUAGAGAUACGCACCUAUGCUACUCCUACCCUAGGAGUACGCAUUCACCCAUUCACGUUCCACAUCCACUUAGAAAAUGUUCUACUCCUACAGUGGGAGAAGGCACCCAAAAAUAUUCAUUAUGUCUUAUUCUACUUAUCUAAUAAAGCUCUAGUUAUUCCAGUUGAUACUCCCUAUUGUUAUCGAUGUAUUAAAAGGAUUGGCUGAUCUUUAAAAAAAAAGAAAAUAAAGUGGACACAAGUCCCAAACGAAAAGAAAGACAACCAAGUCCUUAUUUUUAGAUUAGGGAGGUAUGUUAUCCCCAAGGAGCAAUUGUAGAAUUAGAUAUUCACCAUCAGUUAUCACCCCUCAUUAUCACCAUCAUUCUUAUCAUUCACUUCAUUCAUUGCACUCACAUGCACAUAUGACUUGAUUAUAUAAUUAGUUUCACUGGAUCCAUGGUUUAACUAUGCAACACAUGCAAGUAGGUUUGAAUUGUCUUUCCCACCUAUGAGC